AAUGGUAGGGGUUGGAUGGAACCUCUGGAGAUCAUCUAGUCCAGUCCCUCUGCUAAAGCAGGAUCACCUGGAGCCGGUUGCACAGGAUUGUGUCCAGGAAUCCCUGCCUCUUAAGCCUGAGAGCUGAGAUGAUUCACUCGUGUUUCCUGUGUAUGAGUAGCAGGUGCCACACAGUUUAAUGAGCUGUCAUGGGCACUGUGGAGCUGACACCACUCCACAAUGGAGCUGCUUUUUCAUGAGCCAGUGAAUGACCUAAUACAGUAAAACUGGAACUUGAUUAAGGAGCUGCGGCAUCACUGCGAUGUAACAUUUCACCGACUACAGUUAUGGGUAUCUGAAAGUUCAGAAAUACCAGCUGCUUCAUAAGAACAAACCUACAGUCUCCCUGAAACAUGAAAGAUGCCACCUGCUUCCUUCUCACCGUGCAAGCCACAGCUGCCGGAUCUGUUUUGAAGCAUUGAAAUCACGAGGAAUAUCCACCAGGACCAGGUUAAUCAGGUCUCAUCCUAAUUUUAGUAUUAAGAGGGGAAGCACGAGCUAGAUUCCUUGGGACACGUGGGUGAGAUUCAAGGAACCGUGGGUAAGGUGGCCUUGAGGCGUAGCCGUGCUUUUCCACAUCUGUACUGUGCUAGGGGCUGAAGCCGUCAGCAGUCCCAAGUGGAGCAUACCCAUAUUCUAAAAUAUGCUCGGCUUGCUGUCACCCGCUGUCACUUGGACACGCUAUAGAAUUACAACCACUGUUUCUAUGGUGUCAGGAGCUGCUAGAUGUGCUGGUAGCCAUAAACUACACCAGCCAAACCACACAACACAAAAAAACCCCAUUAUUCAUUUAUUUAUUUUAAAUUCAACCAGACACACAAAAUCCCAUUGUUUCACCAAUUUACACCUGUAUAAUUUUCUUGCACAUCUUUUAAGAUAGCUGAGUUCCCUCAGGCUGCUUAUGUGGAUUGGGUUAAGGUACAGACCUACGGGCUGUAACGCUGAUGAACUCUGCAAAACAUCCUCCCACUCUGCCAGAGAGCUCUUGGUAAGGGCUCGAGGUGUUUCUCAUUGGUUCUGCUCUCACCCUGCAGCAGCCUCGUCUGCCCCAGCACGUUCCCCUCAUCUCCUGGUGAGGGCAUCACAUGUAACCAUGUCAAAGCCUUGUCAAGGUCACAGGGCCAGGAAGUUAAAAUACUAGUGGCAGGCAACAUAAAUCCUGUUCUUUUGCAGUUACCGCUGGGAAACUCAUUUCCUAAUCUUGCUUUUAUGUUUGCAUGGCCCUUCCAUUAUAUCAUGCCCAAAGAGGAUUAAUAAGGACAAGGUGUGCAUUGUGGUUUGCACCAGCUUGCUGAUUGCAUCGUAUUAUGUGCUGGGACACGAGAGCCCUCCUCUGCACAGGUGAGAAGCUGUACCCAUUUCACAGACACUGUCGAUGUUCAGGGUUAACAUCUCAAUUUCCGCUGGCCUCCUAAAUAGCAGAGAAGUGCUUUACUCGUCAGUCAGGAGGCAGCUCUUACCUCCUUCCUAUUAGCCUUCCCUCUUACCAUCAGUACCAUGCACCAAAACGGUACGUUUUCCUGACCAAAACUUCACUGUAUUGAAGGCUGUUUGCAACAGAGCUACGUCAGGGAGUUUCUAGUUCUUGCAUUACUUCAUACCCAGCCCUAAACCCUUUGUUUAAUUAACAGAGCAUCUUUUAGAAACAGGAGCGA